AUCCUGUGAACUGAGACCCCUUUGUGGGUUGGACGACCCUUCACAGGAGCCAGCUAAGACCAUCAGGAAAUGCAGCUAGAUGCGACCUCCUGACAUCAGAGAGAGUAUAAGUUCUGUCCUGGCCUCAGAAAAAGAAGGUGGGAGGUCAAAUACUUAUUGAUCUGCCUCAUGUUGAGGAAAAGUCAACUACUUUGAAGACAGAUGACUUCAGACAAAACACUAAAGGAUGGUGAACUAACAAAAAUCCUGAGGAAGGAGAAAAAAAAAUCUCAAAAUCCAUCAGGAGUGAAGAAGAUAAACAGCACACUGUGUCUGUCACCAGUGGGACACUAGUGAGCCAUCAGGACUACACUCCAGAGCAAGGUUUCCUCUUUGGACUACGCUGUUGAGCCUUGAAGUCCUUGAGAAAAUCCUGCUGCAUUUCAGCGAUGAUUUCCAG